ensembl:lncRNA novel transcript
CAUUCUUUUAAACGGCUCCCCCACUUCCAAUCUUAGUUUCCGUCCCAAUUUGGGAAUUGUUCCUGCCUGGAGGUGAGGGAACCAUCAAUGGCCUUGUCUGAGAUGCACGCCUUGGUGCACAACAAACUCCUCUGCCAUCGCUUAGUCCUUCAAAGCUGACAGUGCUUUUAGAGUCAUGCAGACACCUGAUGGAAGAGUCUUCCAGGCAGAAGGAAGGACAAAUACCCUUGAUAUACAUGUACUUGGCCGGCAUGAGGAAGAGCAAUGUGGAAGGAUACAGAUAGUUGGGAACAUAUAGUGCCUGUGAAUGACCAGUAUGCUCACUCCAAUAACAUCAGGCAAGCAAUUCCACAUAAUACUGAAGAAGGCUGUUGAAGUGACUGAAUCUGGCCAAAUAUUCUGAGCGUUUCGGAGGGAUUUUUAACAUUCUAAAUGCUAUCUGGAACAUCGAUGCAGCAUGGGAAGAAGUCACACAGCCAUGCAUGAACAGCAUUUGGAAGAAAGUUUUGAAGACAUAUGUGAACACAUUCAAAAUGUUAACAGAGAUUCUGCCGUAUUCAUAAGCUUGUUGGCAUCGAGGCUGAAGAGCUUUCCAAUGAGAAGCUGGAAAAAGAAAGAAGUAAAGAAGUUGGGGCAAAGAUAGAAGAAAUUGUUCCUGAGGCACCAAGAAAGUUCAUAGCAAAUAAACUGGCAGCGGUGUUUUCUACUAUCAGCAGUGGUGUGUGAAUGUUAGGACAAAUGGGUGACAAUUACAAUUGCUAUCACACACAUAUUGUUCCAUAGUCUCUCCUGUUCUUUGCCAGCCUUAUUACCUUUUCUUUUUUCCCUAUUAAUCCAAGAGCUCUAUGGGAGUAAAAAGGAUGCUCUUCCUUGCAAUGAAGAAAUAUGUAAUGAAAAGAAAAAACAUAUUGUCAAAACUUGGUAUCUACCUGAAGAACACUUUGCCUUCUAAACCAUAAACAAGUGUCAGUGUCCCAGUGCCUUCUGCCAGCUAUUCUCAAGACUCAUCAGAAGAGAGUGAAAUUGAUGACUCUGUAGCUGUAGCAUCCCCAUUAUCAGCACUUAAUUUUAGCUUAAUGCUUUGAACAUUCUUCAGGCUCAGUGUGCUUUCAUCUGUACACAUUAAUGGAAAUCUGGAGAUAGAAAGAUUUGGGUAUUGGUUCAGCAGCUCAAUGAUGCCAGGGCCAGUGUGUUGGCAUUCUUCUGGCCUUAUCCUCAUGGUUGCAAAUUGGUUCCUGCUGUCCCCAGUCAAAGGAGGAAGAAGAGGGAAUUGGCAGCAGUUAUCAGAGCCUUUAUCAGAAAAGCACAGAUUUCCCAGGAAUCCCCAGGAGACUUCUGGUUACAGUCCAUUGGCCAUAAUGUGGUCAAAUGGGCUUCCCUAUCAACAAGGGAGACAGAGAAAGUGAGUUUUUAUAUUUUUCAGCUUGUUCUGUGGAAGGUGGCAAGAGAAAAGUGGGGUGGGGAUUGCUUCGGCUAAGCAGAUCCUGUAGUGUUUGCCACAGGGGUAUUUAAUGACUAAAAUCCCACUUGGUUGUCAGGUAAGUAAGCAAGAAAUUCUAUGCUUUUACCUUAUCACAGACUUCCUUAGUCUCCAGAUUAUUCUGAGAGAUAGGCACAUACACAAAGUGUGCUCCUUGGUGUGUAUUUUAAGAUAAUGUUUUGUAUUUUGCACAGAAGCAAAUAUUGCCUCUUCCAUAUUAUAGUUUUAAUAAGUUUAUGGCCUUGUCAUUAACUCAUUCAACCAAUAUUUAUUCGGAUUUAUCUAUAUGAUAGUAAUUGUAGUUGAUACUGAGAUUUCAGAGAUGAAUAAGAUAAGAUCCCUAGCUUCAAGUAGUUCAUAGCCCAAGAGUGAAAUACUUUGAUAUAAGUAGUUAUAUACAUAUAAUUAUAAUUUAUCAAAAGAGCACUGAAGAGCAUAUAUAGUGAUAUGUAUCUUCGGCUCUCUAUACAUAUCCUUAGUCUGGGGACAAUCAUUUGAGUUUGUGGAUCUUGAUAGGAGAUCCAGGAAGAUCAGUUUAGAGAUAAUUCAAAGCUUCUUAAGCAAAUGUCACUUUGUAAUGACACUACCUUUCUUUGAUCUCUAUAUUGUCCCUCAAGUAGUUGAAGCCUGUAGUUCUUUAAUAUAUGGUUAGCUUACUUAGCUUGAAGAUAAUACAGCAGUUUGAGUUUAGUUAUGAGUAUUAUACUUGAAAGCUAAGAACAUGAUCAGCAUUUAGCUUUAUAUCUUAAAGGGGUUGGUGAGUUUCUGCACCUGGUUCACUUGACAUGCCUGAGCUCUGAGUAAGAAUAAGAAUCAGAAUGCACCUGGCUUCCACAAUAAAGAAAGCAGCCAGAGGUACCCCAUUUUAGGGCCACUGAGAUGAGCUGUUCCCAACCAGAUGACAUGGGGUGAUUUCCUCUUCACUUUUCUGCUUUCAGCAGGUUCAAAACUGCCUGGAAUCAUGAGAAUCUUUAAUUCCUCUUCUUGGCUAGGAAUCUUCUCCUGUUUUCUCCAUUGGAUUACAUAAGACCAGGAUAUGGCACUAAAGCUUGCUUUUCUUUACCUAUAUGUUGUGAC